rnacentral:rRNA from 1 species
UACCUGCAGCUCAAGUGGUGGCCGCUAUUAUUGGGCCUAAAACGUCCGUAGCCGGUUUAGUAAAUGCCUGGGUAAAUCGUGUAGCUUAACUAUACGAAUUCCGGGUAGACUGCUAGACUUGGGACCGGGAGAGGCUAGAGGUACUUCUAGGGUAGAGGUGAAAUUCUGUAAUCCUAGGGGGACCACCAGUGGCGAAGGCGUCUAGCUAGAACGGGUCUGACGGUGAGGGACGAAGCCCUGGGGCGCAAACCGGAUUAGAUACCCGCGUA